rnacentral:lncRNA from 1 species
AUGGUGACACGUGGCAAGGCAUUUCAAGGCAAAAUCUGGAGAGGGGUAAAAUUGGAAUGUAAUUUUUGAAAUUAAAAAAAAAAUAGAUUUUCUCAAAAUAGGUAUAUUUUAGAUGCAUAAAGUUUCAUACGAGAAUGCAUGAACUUUCAUAUAAAAAUGCAUAAAGUUUCAUAUAAAAAUGCAUAAGAUUUCACCCCACCC